GGGGUUGUGGCUCGGUGGUAGAGCACUCACUUAACACGUGAGAGACACUGGGUUUGAUCCUCAAUAAGGCACA
rnacentral:tRNA from 1 species